CUGAACGCACGCGGUUUUCUAAAACGACGCCGCUCAUGCUCAUCAGGACUUCUCAUUUUUAACCUACGAAGUCUUUUGAAGACCGUUUGAGUCAAAUUUUGAUCUCAUUACGACUUAUCUUUAUGAUCUAAAGGGUUCAUGUUUUAGAUCUUUUGAAGGAGAUAAAUCAUGUUGAAGAUGGUAUCAGUAUAAUUCCAAUCGAUGCAAAAUCAGAGAGGAUCAAAGAGAUUUUUUUUUUUAUGAAAAUAGGUUUGGCCAUACUAGAUCGAACCCAAUUCCUUUUUCGAAAGCAUUUUGGGAACUGCAAAGUGAAUUCGUCAAAUUUUGAUCUCAUUUCGAUUUACCUCCAUAAUCGAAAUCGUUCAAGUUGUGUACACUGUCAAGAAGAUAAACAGUGUCAAAGAUCAUUUGAAUCGAUUUUUUAUUGAUACAUAAUCGGAGAUGAUCAAAUCAAAUUUGUUUUCAUGAAAAUAGAUUUGGAUACAUUGUAUCAAACCAUUUUGUUAAAGGAUAAAUUCAAUCCACGAAGGGACGCCGCCGACGGAAAGGUUUCAUCCCCGACGGAGAGGUUGUUCAGCAGAAAAGGAUUCUCACUCCAUUGUAAAAGGUAACUUUUAAUCUUCCAUCCUUCAACCCUAACCGAUAUCCAGUAAGCUAAUUGUUCUUGGCAAUAAUAUCGCAAAAUUGGUAACAAAAACACAAAGGAAACUGCUCACUACUCCAUUCCUAGUUUAUGGGAGAAUUCGUGGCCACUUGGAUUUCACCAUAAUCUCUUGAUGAUAUUUUUACACCGACUAAUUUUUGGCAAUUGCCAAGUAUAAAUGGAUUACUGUACGAGCUGUUGCGAGCCCUGGUUUUUGCUAGAGAUUAGACAGGUUCUUAGAAUGCAAAAUGAAUUUUCUUGAAAGUAUUUGUCCAUGCUCGCCUGCUCGAACUUCAAAAAAUGCCCCUUUUGUUCUCAGGAAUGAGCUAGCGAAAAUGUAUGUAUUCAUAAUUAGUACUGUGGUAUCACGUUCUGUUGAGAAAGAACCUUACAUAAUGUAAUAAGUAUGUAAAUGGAGUUGCUUGUAGGGGGCGGCAGCUACGUGGCAUGGCAUUGCAUCCGUGGGUUAAAGGGAUGAGGGGCAAAUAAUUUGGAGAUUGUAACUUAGCGGAAGCGAGCUUGCAUGAUACUGAACUGGCAAAGAAGUUGUGGGACUUAGCUUGAGAUUGAGUAACCAAAGUGCCCAUGCUUCAUAGACUAUAGGUUUGUGUUUAUUCUACAUUUCUUCCUCUUCUUUUUCGGCCUUGAAACGGAGAAGCUAUUUUGCUCACCAUCAACUUUUUGGCAUCAAUUGCUGAUAUUCAAAAUGUCAAGUUGGCUUGAAGUCCAAGCGGGGAUAUGGCGUAUGAAGGAGAUGAUAGUGAUAGAUGGGAUGAGGCUCCUCCUACAACAGUAGGUGUAUAUUAGCAUCUUUUCCCUAAGUUUUUUAAUCAUAUAAAGUUUUUCUUUUGUUGUUGUUUGCGAGUUUUAAGUUCAUAUUACUUUAUCAAUCGUUUUCGUGGAUUUUGUUUCUCUUGGAUACAAAUAAGGUUCAUCGAAUCUUGCACUUAUUGCUUAGAACUUCAGGAAAGAAGGAAAACCCGAAUUUAAAACAGUUAUUUUUCCUACUCUACUUGGUUCUUAGUAGCGGAUGAAAAGGAAAAGAAGCAAAGAAGAAGUAGAGGGAAAAUAAUUUUCCGUCACUUAUUUUUCCUGUUAUUUUCUCACUCUCAUUACAUAUUAUUGGCUUGCUCUUCUUUCCGAAAUCAAACAUAAUAGAUCAAUUUUCUUUACCUUUUCCCUCCUAAGUUUACAGAAUCAAGCAAAGGCAAGAUGUAUCAAUGUUUCAAUGUGUCAUGGGGUGGUUUCAAUGUUGGGUGUGUCUGAAUGUGUCAUGAGACUUAGCAUUAUGUUUGUGUCAUUUGGGUGAAUCUUACUUGGGAGGGAUGUCAUGGGAAUGGGAUCAUAUAUGUCAGAGGGUGUAGCUUCAAUGUUGGUAUCCUGCUCCAAAGGGGUGUCAUGGGGAAAUUGAAUUUAACAUGGCGGAUGGGUUCAAAGCUAGGAUUCUGUUCAUAAGGAGGUGUUUUGAGUAACGGAUCUAAGCUCUAUUGGGGUUAAAUUGAGGCGGUGUAAGUUCUACAGGUGUGCCAUCAUGGGUAUUGUCUUCGGUCAUUGAGUUAUGUAUCAAGUCUUCGGUAAGUGAAAUGAGGGCGCAAGUGUCAAGGAGUAUUUAGGGUACACAAUAUUUGCUCAAGGAUGAUUGAUGACAAGGAAUGUUACUGUCAAGAUGUGUUACUAUCAAGGGAUGCUGCUUCGGACUCUGUGUAUCAUGUCAUGGGGCAUUUUGGAUUAUGGUUUGUACCUGCAGGUGGGUGUCUAGUUCUUCAUAGCAUGAGUGGUGAAUAUUUCAAGGGUCGUUUUGUCUAUUUGUGUCAUAUCUGCUAAGCCAAUGGGAGCAUGUCAACUGCUGUUGUGGUCAUCUUUGGGGUCUCCGUCUAUUCUCAUGUCGAUGAUGCUGUGCUAAAUGCAAUGCCAACCUUUCGGAUAUAACGAGGAAUGCAAGGCGUUGUUCUGCGUUCCAACUAAUUUAAGCCUGAGGAAAUAACAGCUAUGAUGAAUGACUUCGCUGAACCUGGAACACUUGCACCGACUGGCUUGUACCUUGGUGGCACAAAAUAUACGGUGAUCGAUCCAAGGAUUAGCAGGGGUUGUCAUAAGAGGAGAGAAGGUAAUUAGGAGGCCUUUCGAGCUGAUGAAGCACUCGGACACUAUUUCUUUCAUGCUUUGUUCUUACACAAAGAAAGCAUUUUCAAAUGUUUCAACUUUGAACCGGUUAGUUGGGGCGUGGUUCUCUGCACGAGUCAUUAUUGCCACUGUGACCUGGUUCCGUGUUUGCAAAGUUGAAUCAAUGCCAGUUUGUGUUCUCUUCGCUGGUAUCUGGCAGCUUGCCUUUUUGCUUAAUUGACCAAAUUACCGUGUACCUAUGGGUUUUAUUGUCCUGAUUUGCGUAAACACGGAUCUUUUUGAUAUGUUGUAUAGAAACAGGAAAGCGAACGUAGUGUAUCACAUUGCCUAAAUAUGGUACUCAAUCAGUUUUAUUUGGGCUA